CCACUUAGUUCUCAUAGGCAAAAAUGCAAACAGGUUAGCCUUGUCAAAUCCAUUCAUCAAAGCUUCGGCUUUAACGAUUUGAGUGACCAUUCUGGUUUCUGCUAGUGUGUGAGCUUCACUUAUUUCCAACAAUAGACUAUCUACUGAUGGUGAUGAAAAUAAGAGGCUCAAAAGACCUUAAUGGUAGCCUCCACAUGUUGAAUUUCAUUGAAGCUUUAUGAAUUUGGAACCUUCAAGUUCUGUUCCCAAAUCUUUGAUUCUCCUUCUCCUCUAAUUCACAGCUGCAUUGCUUUGAUCUCUACUGGGUUGGAGGUCAAUUGGAUCACUUCUUUCCCUAUUAAAGAUCCUUGAUUCCACCUCUCUCUCUCUCGUGUUAAGUCAGUCGAGUCACAACCCAAUUCCUUCAGGCGAUGGUGAUGCCACGACGAUUACCUGAGGUGGAGCAACAGCUGAUAAGAUACAAUGAGGCGACGCCAAGGAGAAAGGAACUGAGGGGUGAGCGCGGCGACGCCAAGGAGGAAGGAACUGAGGGGUGAGCGCUGCCGCUGCUGGGCUGGAGUUUGGAGUGAGGGCUAAGAAGAUGGCAGAUGAGAAAAUUAAGAAUCGACAAUGAAUUGU
rnacentral:misc_RNA from 1 species